UACGAGAGGCCCAAACGUUAUUCGGAAUUACUGGGCUUAAAGAGUUCGUAAGCGGCGCAGAAAGUAGGGUGUGAAGGCCCUCGGCUCAACCGAGGAAUUGCGCUCUAAACUACUGUGCUUGAGGAACCUAGAGGUGAGCAGAACAGAUGGUGGAGCGGUGAAAUGCGUUGAUAUCAUCUGGAAUACCGGAGGCGAAGGCGGCUCACUGGGGGUUUUCUGACGCUGAGGAACGAAAGCCAGGGUAGCGAACGGG
rnacentral:rRNA from 1 species